ensembl:snRNA U6 U6 spliceosomal RNA
GUGCUCACUUUGGCAGCAAAUAUACUAAAAUUGAAACCAUACAGAGAUUAGCAUGGCCUCUGCACAAGGAUGACAUGCAAAUUCGUGAAUCGUUCCAUAUUUUU